rnacentral:rRNA from 1 species
AACGAACGCUGGCGGCAUGCCUAACACAUGCAAGGCGAACGAGACCUUCGGGUCUAGUGGCGCACGGGUGCGUAACGCGUGGGAACCUGCCCUUAGGUUCGGAAUAACUCCCCGAAAGGGGUGCUAAUACCGGAUAAUGUCUUCGGACCAAAGAUUUAUCGCCUUUGGAUGGGCCCGCGUUGGAUUAGCUAGUUGGUAGGGUAAAAGCCUACCAAGGCGACGAUCCAUAGCUGGUCUGAGAGGAUGAUCAGCCACACUGGGACUGAGACACGGCCCAGACUCCUACGGGAGGCAGCAGUGGGGAAUAUUGGACAAUGGGCGAAAGCCUGAUCCAGCAAUGCCGCGUGAGUGAUGAAGGCCUUAGGGUUGUAAAGCUCUUUUACCCGGGAUGAUAAUGACAGUACCGGGAGAAUAAGCUCCGGCUAACUCCGUG